rnacentral:tRNA from 2 species
GGAGAGGUGUCCGAGAGGCCGAAGGUGACAGACUCGAAAUCUGUUGUGGCGCAAGCCACCGGGAGUUCGAAUCUCCCCCUCUCCGCCA